UAUAGAAGAAAAAAGGUAAUACUAUUAAAGGAAACCUUUAUUUUUUGGCGGCCCAUUUUCUUUUUAGAGGAACUCGUCUCAUAAUCGUCACUCCUCGUUAAUUUUCACUUUUUUUAUUUUCUCUUAUACCGCCGUCUAAAGAUUAAAUUAUUUUUUCAAAAUAAAGAAAAUUUUCUAAGUCAGGUAAAGGUGAGGAACAUAAAAAAGAGAAGAUAAGUUACUUAUAAAAUUUAUUUUUGGAUAUAUUCUUAACAAUCUAUUGAAAGAGGAUUUAACAGUAAUUUUUUAUUAAUUUUUUAUAAUGAACAAGUAAAAUAGGUGU
rnacentral:rRNA from 1 species